rnacentral:lncRNA from 1 species
AAUUUCAAAAGUGGCUCGGCCAUAGAACUGAUACUGGGGCCCCCACUCCAACUUACUCUUGAUCAUUCUAUGCAAAGCGGGGUAAAAAUCAUCACGUGUGGGAAGAUCUUUGAUUUGGAAUUUCAUGUCUCCAUCCACUUCAUUAUUCACAUCCUCCAAACAAUGUGCGGUAAACACAGCACGAUGCGUUUGGCAUACUGAAAUCACCUUAUCUUCUGCGUGGGGUUUGAAUUCAAGAUACCCCGAAUUUACGGAGGCGGUGGUAUACCAGGUUGCACGGCCUUCAGGGGGUACAUUAAGCUGCACAGAUCUCAAAGGCAGUGAUCUCGCAUAUUGGGGGCCAGAAACAAAUUCCCUACCAUGCGAAUCAAAGACUCGCUCAAACCCGAAUCGAC